GAGUGAUCUUUCCCUCAGUUGAGGCUCCCAACCCCUGUGAACAUACCAAUUGUUGCCUCGGCGGAUCAGCCCGCUCCCGGUAAAACGGGACGGCCCGCCAGAGGACCCCUAAACUCUGUUUCUAUAUGUAACUUCUGAGUAAAACCAUAAAUAAAUCAAAACUUUCAACAACGGAUCUCUUGGUUCUGGCAUCGAUGAAGAACGCAGCAAAAUGCGAUAAGUAAUGUGAAUUGCAGAAUUCAGUGAAUCAUCGAAUCUUUGAACGCACAUUGCGCCCGCCAGUAUUCUGGCGGGCAUGCCUGUUCGAGCGUCAUUUCAACCCUCAAGCCCCCGGGUUUGGUGUUGGGGAUCGGCGAGCCCUUGCGGCAAGCCGGCCCCGAAAUCUAGUGGCGGUCUCGCUGCAGCUUCCAUUGCGUAGUAGUAAAACCCUCGCAACUGGUACGCGGCGCGGCCAAGCCGUUAAACCCCCAACUUCUGAAUGUUGACCUCGGAUCAGGUAGGAAUACCCGCUGAACUUAAGCAUAUCAUUAAGCGGAGGAAA
rnacentral:rRNA from 1 species